rnacentral:rRNA from 1 species
UUAAGCGACUAAGCGUACACGGUGGAUGCCCUGGCAGUCAGAGGCGAUGAAGGACGUGCUAAUCUGCGAAAAGCGUCGGUAAGGUGAUAUGAACCGUUAUAACCGGCGAUGUCCGAAUGGGGAAACCCAGUGCAAUUCGUUGCACUAUCGUUAACUGAAUACAUAGGUUAACGAGGCGAACCGGGGGAACUGAAACAUCUAAGUACCCCGAGGAAAAGAAAUCAACCGAGAUUCCCCCAGUAGCGGCGAGCGAACGGGGAGCAGCCCAGAGUCUGAAUCAGCUUGUGUGUUAGUGGAACGGUCUGGAAAGUCCGACGGUACAGGGUGAUAGUCCCGUACACCAAAAUGCACAGGUUGUGAACUCGAAGAGUAGGGCGGGACACGUGGUAUCCUGUCUGAAUAUGGGGGGACCAUCCUCCAAGGCUAAAUACUCCUGACUGACCGAUAGUGAACCAGUACCGUGAGGGAAAGGCGAAAAGAACCCCGGCGAGGGGAGUGAAAAAGAACCUGAAACCGUGUACGUACAAGCAGUGGGAGCACCUUCGGGUGUGACUGCGUACCUUUUGUAUAAUGGGUCAGCGACUUAUAUUCUGUAGCAAGGUUAACCGUAUAGGGGAGCCGCAGGGAAACCGAGUCUUAACUGGGCGUUAAGUUGCAGGGUAUAGACCCGAAACCCGGUGAUCUAGCCAUGGGCAGGUUGAAGGUUGGGUAACACUAACUGGAGGACCGAACCGACUAAUGUUGAAAAAUUAGCGGAUGACUUGUGGCUGGGGGUGAAAGGCCAAUCAAACCGGGAGAUAGCUGGUUCUCCCCGAAAGCUAUUUAGGUAGCGCCUCGUGAAUUCAUCUUCGGGGGUAGAGCACUGUUUCGGCUAGGGGGUCAUCCCGACUUACCAACCCGAUGCAAACUACGAAUACCGAAGAAUGUUAUCACGGGAGACACACGGCGGGUGCUAACGUCCGUCGUGAAGAGGGAAACAACCCAGACCGCCAGCUAAGGUCCCAAAGUCAUGGUUAAGUGGGAAACGAUGUGGGAAGGCCCAGACAGCCAGGAUGUUGGCUUAGAAGCAGCCAUCAUUUAAAGAAAGCGUAAUAGCUCACUGGUCGAGUCGGCCUGCGCGGAAGAUGUAACGGGGCUAAACCAUGCACCGAAGCUGCGGCAGCGACACUAUGUGUUGUUGGGUAGGGGAGCGUUCUGUAAGCCUGUGAAGGUGUGCUGUGAGGCAUGCUGGAGGUAUCAGAAGUGCGAAUGCUGACAUAAGUAACGAUAAAGCGGGUGAAAAGCCCGCUCGCCGGAAGACCAAGGGUUCCUGUCCAACGUUAAUCGGGGCAGGGUGAGUCGACCCCUAAGGCGAGGCCGAAAGGCGUAGUCGAUGGGAAACAGGUUAAUAUUCCUGUACUUGGUGUUACUGCGAAGGGGGGACGGAGAAGGCUAUGUCAUCCGGGCGACGGUUGUCCCGGUUUAAGCAUGUAGGCUGGUUAUCCAGGCAAAUCCGGAUAAUCAAGGCUGAGGUGUGAUGACGAGGUACCACGGUACUGAAGUGACAGAUGCCCUGCUUCCAGGAAAAGCCUCUAAGCAUCAGGUAACAUUAAAUCGUACCCCAAACCGACACAGGUGGUCAGGUAGAGAAUACCAAGGCGCUUGAGAGAACUCGGGUGAAGGAACUAGGCAAAAUGGUGCCGUAACUUCGGGAGAAGGCACGCUGGUGUGUAGGUGAAGUCCCUGCGGACGGAGCUGAGACCAGUCGAAGAUACCAGCUGGCUGCAACUGUUUAUUAAAAACACAGCACUGUGCAAACACGAAAGUGGACGUAUACGGUGUGACGCCUGCCCGGUGCCGGAAGGUUAAUUGAUGGGGUUAUCCGUAAGGAGAAGCUCUUGAUCGAAGCCCCGGUAAACGGCGGCCGUAACUAUAACGGUCCUAAGGUAGCGAAAUUCCUUGUCGGGUAAGUUCCGACCUGCACGAAUGGCGUAAUGAUGGCCAGGCUGUCUCCACCCGAGACUCAGUGAAAUUGAACUCGCUGUGAAGAUGCAGUGUACCCGCGGCAAGACGGAAAGACCCCGUGAACCUUUACUAUAGCUUGACACUGAACAUUGAGCCUUGAUGUGUAGGAUAGGUGGGAGGCUUUGAAGCGUGGACGCCAGUCUGCGUGGAGCCAACCUUGAAAUACCACCCUUUAAUGUUUGAUGUUCUAACGUUGGCCCCUUAUCGGGGUUGCGGACAGUGUCUGGUGGGUAGUUUGACUGGGGCGGUCUCCUCCCAAAGCGUAACGGAGGAGCACGAAGGUUAGCUAAUCCUGGUCGGACAUCAGGAGGUUAGUGCAAUGGCAUAAGCUAGCUUGACUGCGAGCGUGACGGCGCGAGCAGGUGCGAAAGCAGGUCAUAGUGAUCCGGUGGUUCUGAAUGGAAGGGCCAUCGCUCAACGGAUAAAAGGUACUCCGGGGAUAACAGGCUGAUACCGCCCAAGAGUUCAUAUCGACGGCGGUGUUUGGCACCUCGAUGUCGGCUCAUCACAUCCUGGGGCUGAAGUAGGUCCCAAGGGUAUGGCUGUUCGCCAUUUAAAGUGGUACGCGAGCUGGGUUUAGAACGUCGUGAGACAGUUCGGUCCCUAUCUGCCGUGGGCGCUGGAGAAUUGAGGGGGGCUGCUCCUAGUACGAGAGGACCGGAGUGGACGCAUCACUGGUGUUCGGGUUGUCAUGCCAAUGGCACUGCCCGGUAGCUAAAUGCGGAAGAGAUAAGUGCUGAAAGCAUCUAAGCACGAAACUUGCCCCGAGAUGAGUUCUCCCUGAGACUAUAAGUCUCCUGAAGGAACGUUGAAGACGACGACGUUGAUAGGCCGGGUGUGUAAGCGCAGCGAUGCGUUGAGCUAACCGGUACUAAUGAACCGUGAGGCUUAACCU